rnacentral:rRNA from 1 species
GAUGAACGCUGGCGGCGUGCCUAAUACAUGCAAGUCGAGCGAACAGACGAGGUGCUUGCUCCUCUGACGUUAGCGGCGGACGGGUGAGUAACACGUGGAUAACCUACCUAUAAGACUGGGAUAACUUCGGGAAACCGGAGCUAAUACCGGAUAAUAUCUUUAACCGUAUGGUUCAAUAGUGAAAGACGGUUUUGCAUUCACUUAUAGAGAUAUCCGCUACGCAUUAGUUAGUGGUGAAGGUAACGGCUUACCAAGGCAACGAUCAGUACCCGACCUGAGAGGGGGUCGGGCCAAAUUGGACCGGAGCACCGGUCCAGACUCCUAGGGGGGGAAGCAGAAGGGAAUUUUCGGCAAUGGGCGAAAGCCUGACGGAGCAACGCCGCGUGAGUGAGGAAGGUCUUCGGAUCGUAAAACUCUGUUAUUAGGGAAGACCAAAUGUGUAAGUAACUAUGCACGUCUUGACGGUACCUACUCAGAAAGCCACGGCUAACUACGUG